rnacentral:rRNA from 1 species
UGGGGAAUAUUGCACAAUGGGCGCAAGCCUGAUGCAGCCAUGCCGCGUGUAUGAAGAAGGCCUUCGGGUUGUAAAGUACUUUCAGCGGGGAGGAAGGUGUUGAGGUUAAUAACCUCAGCAAUUGACGUUACCCGCAGAAGAAGCACCGGCUAACUCCGUGCCAGCAGCCGCGGUAAUACGGAGGGUGCAAGCGUUAAUCGGAAUUACUGGGCGUAAAGCGCUCGCAGGCGGUCUGUCAAGUCGGAUGUGAAAUCCCCGGGCUCAACCUGGGAACUGCAUUCGAAACUGGCAGGCUAGAGUCUUGUAGAGGGGGGUAGAAUUCCAGGUGUAGCGGUGAAAUGCGUAGAGAUCUGGAGGAAUACCGGUGGCGAAGGCGGCCCCCUGGACAAAGACUGACGCUCAGGUGCGAAAGCGUGGGGAGCAAACA